rnacentral:rRNA from 1 species
UACGUAGGGGGCUAGCGUUGUCCGGAAUCAUUGGGCGUAAAGCGCGUGUAGGCGGGUCCUUAAGUCAGGGGUGAAAUCCCGGAGCUCAACUCCGGAACUGCCUUUGAUACUGGGGAUCUUGAGUCCGGAAGAGGUGAGUGGAACUCCGGGUGUAGAGGUGAAAUUCGUAGAUAUUCGGAAGAACACCAGUGGCGAAGGCGGCUCACUGGUCCGGUACUGACGCUGAGGUGCGAAAGCGUGGGGAGCGACGAG